rnacentral:rRNA from 1 species
UACGGAGGGUGCAAGCGUUAUCCGGAUUCACUGGGUUUAAAGGGUGCGUAGGCGGUCUUAUAAGUCAGUGGUGAAAUACGGCAGCUCAACUGUCGAGGUGCCAUUGAUACUGUAGGACUUGAGUACAGACGAGGUAGGCGGAAUUGACGGUGUAGCGGUGAAAUGCUUAGAUAUCGUCAAGAACACCGAUAGCGAAGGCAGCUUACUAGGCUGUAACUGACGCUGAGGCACGAAAGUGUGGGGAUCAAACAGG